UACAGAGGGGGCAAGCGUUGUUCGGAAUUACUGGGCGUAAAGGGCGCGUAGGCGGCCAACUAAGUCGGACGUGAAAUCCCCGGGCUCAACCCGGGAACUGCGUCCGAUACUGGAUGGCUUGAAUCCGGGAGAGGUAUGUGGAAUUCCAGGUGUAGCGGUGAAAUGCGUAGAUAUCUGGAGGAACACCGGUGGCGAAGGCGGCGAUCUGGGUAGAUACUGACGCUGAGGUGCGAAAGCGUGGGGAGCAAACAGG
rnacentral:rRNA from 1 species